AGGAAAAGCUGACUGGCUGAUAGCUGGGCAGGAAGAGACUGGUUGGGAGAGUCAGACGAGGGGAGCUCCGGGAAGAAGGAUGGAGUCUGGAGAAACGGACAUACCACACUGAGAAAAGAGUUGGUUUGUUCUCACGCCACAUCUUAGGUUCCCAACACGUGUAAGUUCGUGGAACACACUUCCUUAAAAGAUGGGUCACAGCUCCACUGUGAACUAGCUUCUCUCCCUGGGACUGUGUUACCAUGGUAUACGCUGUAUGUGUAACAUCAGAAAGAAGAUCAGUCUGGAGAACUGCCACCUACUUCUCAGACACGAAGGCUGUUUCUUUUCACAGUACAGGAUGAUUUGUGACUACAUGUCUAAUGAUACAUUUCUAGUUCUAAGACCAUACUAUACAACAAGUAUAUGGAGUGCCGCUCUUCAUACCACAGCCUGGGGUGGAUUCACAGGAUACAGUGAGCACAAGACAGCUGUCCUGCUUGUGAUUGGAGCCCAUUCUCUUGCAAUAAGCUGGCCAAAUGCAUAGAGUCCUCAGAAGGGUGAAGUUCAAGGAAUACGGAAUUCAUCCAAAACUUCAAAUCCUGCUGGAGGUUGAGCUAUAGAGUUGUCUGGCCCUGGAAUCUCCCCAGGCUCACAAACUCAGGAAGGAAUUGUGUAUGUGAUGUACUUACAAAGUUGUACCCUUUCUGGUGAAGUAAAGAUUUCAAAUUUGUUGAUAAGUCGAUGAGUAAAAUGAAUUAACGAAGUAAUUGAACAUUUAA